UAGCUGGUUGCCUGGGAAUUGAAUAGAAGUUCAGCCCUUUAAGUUUUCCUAACCAUACAAGCCGUGCUCAUAUUGGUAAAGAUAACUAAAGGAGUUAGUCAGAAAGGGUACAGCCUUCCCGACAAGAGAAACAACUUUUACAGGUGACACAAGAUCAUAAUAAUAGAGGACUUCAAAUUAAGUGGGCCUGAAAGCAGCCAUCUUAACAGAAAGCGUUAAAGCUCAAAUUAAGUCUAAUCCCCGUAUUCUGAUACAAAAUCUUCCUCCCUGCCCUAUACCAGGCUGUCUUAUGCCCCCAUAAGAGCAAUUAUGCUAAAAUGAGUAAUAAGAAGACACGAUCUUCUCCUAGCAUAUGUGUAAGUUGGAACGGACUCCCCACCAACUGUUAAUCGACCCCACCCCCAGAGGGAAUUAAGCGAAACUCCCAAGAAAGACACUUAAACCAUAUCGUUGACCCCACACAGGCGUGCCCACAGGAAAGACUAAACGAGGGGGAAGGAACUCGGCAAACAAAAGCCCCGCCUGUUUACCAAAAACAUCGCCUCUUGCCCCACCCCAUAAGAGGUCCCGCCUGCCCUGUGACUAUAUGUUUAACGGCCGCGGUAUUUUAACCGUGCGAAGGUAGCGUAAUCACUUGUCUUUUAAAUGAAGACCUGUAUGAAUGGCAUCACGAGGGCUUAGCUGUCUCCCCUCUCCAGUCAAUGAAAUUGACCUCCCCGUGCAGAGGCGGGGAUUCAAGCAUAAGACGAGAAGACCCUGUGGAGCUUCAGACCUAAAAUAAUUUAUGUUUAAUACACUGGGAAUAUUCAGCUAAAACUUAAUAAUAAUUAUUGAAGUGUCUUUGGUUGGGGCGACCGCGGGGUAAAACAAAACCCCCACGUGGAAUGGGAGAAUUACUCCUAGCACCUAGAGCCGCUACUCCAAGUAACAGAAAUUCUGACUUUAUGAUCCGGUAUUACCGAUCAACGGACCGAGUUACCCCAGGGAUAACAGCGCAAUCCUCUCUCAGAGCCCAUAUCGACGAGGGGGUUU
rnacentral:rRNA from 1 species